rnacentral:misc_RNA from 1 species
GACUGAAGGUGCAAGCGUUACUCGGAAUUACUGGGCGUAAAGCGUCCGCAGGCCUUUUUGUAAGUCUGGCGUAAAAGCACGGAGCUCAACUCCGUGUACGUGCCGGAAACUGCAAAAAUAGAGUCAUUCAGAGGCAUCUGGAAUGCCGUGUGUAGGGGUAAUAUCCGUUGAUCCACGGUAGAACGCCAAAAGCGAAGGCAGGAUGCUGGGAAUGUACUGACGCUCAGGGACGAAAGCGUGGGGAGCGAAGGGG